UGUAGCAUAAAAGGAUAUUAAUCAGGUAAAUGGCCAUUAAAAGUCAUAUCAAUGUUUGCUGUGCGGUGAUUAUUUUCCUUAAAUCUUGAACAAAGGAGGUUUCUUUGAAAUCUCAGGGUUGGCCUCCAACCGCAGGAGAGAAUAGCCACACGGAAAUGCUUUGUUUCUCAACCUCACUAAGAAGGAAAAAAAGGAGCAAAAUGUAGGGUGUGGCGAAAGUAAGAUUAUAUUCUCUUUGUUCCACUGGGCUAUCUCGGUCAAGGAGGGACAAGUUGGACAAACUGAAAUCAGUGUACAGCAAGUGGGGACGACAGGCAAGAAGCGCGCUCGCAAGGCCCCCCAUUCCGGGAGAGGAAAGCUCCACUUUCCAGAAAGCGCCCUUCAUCGUCUCGCUGAUGAGAUUCUGUAUCUGCACACGGAACAUCGUCACGCCGCCUCGAUUUCCCAGUUCUCUGCCCCUCAGCCCUGGAGCAGCCCUUCUGAGUCGAACUGAGCGCCAAACUGAGGACUUGGCCACUCAAUACUCUUCAGCAGGUCGCCCGUUGUGACUCUGUACCAAGAGACAGGGGUGUGAGCUUGAACUGCUUCUCGCUGAAUCGACCGGGAAACUCAAUCAAAGGACGGGAUUCUCCCAGCAGAGAGGCUGGUGCCCAAGGGCACGUGCCCCAGGACUGGGCUGCCUCCGGGGCACCGAGCACAGACGAGGGCCGGGCGGCCGCGGAGCCGCGCGUGGCUCAGCUCCCGGAGCGCGGG
rnacentral:lncRNA from 1 species